CAGCCGCGUGUGUGAAGAGGCCUGAGGGUUGUAAAGCACUUUCAGUGGGGAGGAGGAUAGCAUGGUUAAGAGCUGAGCUAUUGGACGUUACCUACAGAAGAAGCACCGGCUAACUCCGUGCCAGCAGCCGCGGUAAUACGGAGGGUGCGAGCGUUAAUCGGAAUUACUGGGCGUAAAGGGUGCGUAGGUGGUUAAAUAAGUUAGAUGUAAAAACCCUGGGCUUAACCUAGGACUGAGAUUUAAUACUGUUUAACUAGAGUAUGGGAGAGGGUAGUGGAAUUUCCGGUGUAGCGGUGAAAUGCGUAGAGAUCGGAAGGAACACCAGUGGCGAAGGCGGCUACCUGGCCUAAUACUGACACUGAGGCACGAAAGCGUGGGGAGCAAACAGGAUUAGAUACCCUGGUAGUCCACGCUGUAAACGAUGUCAACUAGCCGUUGG
rnacentral:rRNA from 1 species